rnacentral:rRNA from 1 species
CCUACGGGGGGCAGCAGUGGGGGAUAUUGCACAAUGGGGGAAACCCUGAUGCAGCGACGCCGCGUGGGUGAAGAAGCGCCUCGGCGCGUAAAGCCCUGUCAGCAGGGAAGAAAAUGACGGUACCUGAAGAAGAAGCCCCGGCUAACUACGUGCCAGCAGCCGCGGUAAUACGUAGGGGGCAAGCGUUAUCCGGAUGUACUGGGUGUAAAGGGGGCGCAGACGGCGAUGCAAGCCAGGAGUGAAAGCCCGGGGCCCAACCCCGGGACUGCUCUUGGAGCUGCGUGGCUAGAGUGCAGGAGGGGCAG